rnacentral:rRNA from 1 species
AUACANACUCUCAGUACGGUGAAACCGCGAAAGGCUCAUUAGAUCGGUCAAUGUUUACUGGAUCGUACAAUCCUACUUGGAUAACUGUGGCAAUUCUAGAGCUAAUACAUGCAACCAAGCUCCGACCUUCGGGGAAGAGCGCUUUUAUUAGAUCAAGACCAAUCGGGGGCUUCGGUUCCCGUAGCAUUGGUGACUCUGGAUAACUUUGGGCUGAUCGCACGGCCUCGAGCCGGCGACGUAUCCAUCAAAUGUCCGCCCUAUCAACUUUCGACGGUACGUGAUAUGCCUACCGUGGUUUUUACGGGUAACGGGGAAUCAGGGUUCGAUUCCGGAG